ACAAAAUGGCAGCGCCCUUGUGAGAACACAUGAAACCUGAGCGACUCGAAAAUUUGAAUGAUUAGGACCAUGGAUGAUGUCGAAGACGACUGGCUAUUUGAUAGCAUCAGAAGGUAUAAGGCACUGUUAAUGUUUGAUCUACACAAUGCUGCUACAUCGUUAACAUGGGUCAGUGAUAAAAGUAUAUGUGCAAGUACUCAGGGAAAAGAGAAGUAUGAAGUAUUGGAGCUCUCAUUACCAGAAAAAAUCCUGACAACUACAGAAACAGAGG